rnacentral:tRNA from 1 species
GGAAGCCAAUCUCGGCCGGCGUCGGGCUCGGUCUUCAAAACCGUCGUUUGUCGCUUCGCGGCAAAGGUGGGUUCGACUCCCACUGGCUUCCGCCA